GGCUACCUGUGAUGAAUUUUCCAACUGUGGGUGCAACCAUAUCAAAUGCCGCAACUGUUUUUCCAUCAUCAUUCAACCGUACAUAGAAUGGCUUGAAUUCUUUGUUGUAUACAAUUACAGGCUUCUUAUAGAUUUCAUCAACCAAAUAACUUAGAUGUUGAGAUGUUAAUUCAGUGCCCCAUUCAGGUUCAGUUUCAAAUUUUCUAUCAGCAACCUUUUUCAAAACAUUUACUGCUUCCAUGUAGGUGAUCCUUUCAUAUGAAGAUGAUAUCAUUGCUUCAAGAAGAUUGGUUUUGUCAACAAAUUUCAUGUCCGUUGAACAAUUCUCCAAAACCCAUUUGCAGAGGAACUUGAAAUAGUCUUCUGCACAGUUCAUGGCAUCCUCUAGUUCUGAAAAAGCCAUUUCAGCCUCAA
rnacentral:misc_RNA from 1 species